rfam:Schistosoma mansoni strain Puerto Rico chromosome 7, complete genome
GCACUGAUGAGGUGUCUCAUAAUAGGACGAAACGGCCGUUCAGUGC